AACGAACGCUGGCGGCAUGCCUAACACAUGCAAGUCGAACGAGACCUUCGGGUCUAGUGGCGCACGGGUGCGUAACUCGUGGGAACCUGCCCUUAGGUUCGGAAUAACUCCCCGAAAGGGGUGCUAAUACCGGAUAAUGUCUUCGGACCAAAGAUUUAUCGCCUUUGGAUGGGCCCGCGUUGGAUUAGCUAGUUGGUAGGGUAAAAGCCUACCAAGGCGACGAUCCAUAGCUGGUCUGAGAGGAUGAUCAGCCACACUGGGACUGAGACACGGCCCAGACUACUACGGGAGGCAGCAGAGGGGAAUAUUGGAAAAUGGGCGAAAGCCUGAUCCAGCAAUGCCGCGGGAGUAAUGAAGGCCUUAGGGUUGUAAAGCUCUUUUACCCGGGAUGAUAAUGACAGUACCGGGAGAAUAAGCACCGGCUAACUCCGU
rnacentral:rRNA from 1 species